AUUACUUAGCGUCUUACCGGCUGAUCUAGAAGUUAUUGUGGAAGCCAGUUGGAAGUAGUUACUUUUUAAUAAAUAAAAAUAUUUAAAGAACAAGAUGAUAAAUAAAAAGGUGGUAACAUUAACAACAUACAUUUUCAGUGUUUCACGAGUGUAAAAGUUUUGUAGUCUGUGAUAUAGUAGUUCAGUGACAGAUGACAGUAACAUGACAUGACAAUUUGACAGCCACUGUCAACAUUGACGUUUUCUUUGCAACCGGCCCACAUUGUUUUCUUGUGUGAGUUGUUGGUUGGUGAAUCAAGAAUUAUUAUCGUUGUGAUUAUAAACUGCAUGAGAAACUGACUGUGAGUAACUCGUGCUAUCAACAGUAGCACCUACAAUUCAGUAUUCCAAACAGUUGCAACCAUGACAGAGGCUAUCGUCAAAAACAUUGACAACGCGUGUGAAACUGCUGAAGAGUUUACAAAAGUAUUCUACAAACAAGUGGAUAACAACCGGCAUUUAACGUCCAAACUAUAUCUGGACACCGGCCUACUAGUUUGGAAUGGAAAUGGAAUAACUGGUAACGACAAGAUACAGAAGUUCCUGAUGGAUUUACCUGCCAGUAAUCAUGUGCUGAAAACAUUAGAUGCACAGCCAAUCUCAGAGAAUUUAGUUUCAAACAAGCUAACGUACCUCAUUCAAGCUUGUGGAGAUGUAACCUAUCAAAAUGAUGACAGCAAGAAGCCAUUUCAACAAACAUUUGUGAUUGUGGCUGUCGAUGGAAAGUGGAAAAUUGCAUCAGAUUGUUUCAGAUUACAAGUGCCAUAUAAUAGCUAAUAGGUGGAGUGUAUUUUAAGAUUUUUGUAUUCGGGAACUAACCAUCAUUAUCACCAAACAUACAAAAAUAUAUUUUAAUGCUGAUCCUGGAGAUGAAUGAGUUUAACUGACUCAAGACUCAAGAAGCAAGAUAAAUGAGAGAUCAGUUUGAUAAGAUUAUCUUUAAAGCAAGAUGUUAUCACUGGCUGAAAGAGAACCAAUAUCUUCUACUCCAAGGCAUAAGAAGACACAUUUAUUUAUUUUUAUAAAUAUUGUACAAAACAGCUAUGAAUAAAUGUCAUGAUUACAACAAA